AUGGCCGUCAUGGCGCCCCGAACUCUCUCCUGCUACUCUCGGGGGCCCUGGCCCUGACCCAGACCUGGGCGGGCUCCCACUCCAUGAGGUAUUUCUCCACAUCGGUGUCCCGGCCCGGCCGCGGGGAGCCCCGCUUCAUCGCCGUGGGCUACGUGGACGACACGCAGUUCGUGCGGUUCGACAGCGACGCCGCGAGCCAGAGGAUGGAGCCGCGGGCACCGUGGAUAGAGCAGGAGGGUCCGGAGUAUUGGGACCGGGAGACACGGAGUGUGAAGGCCGGCGCACAGAUCUACCGAGCGAACCUGGGGACCCUGCGCGGCUACUACAACCAGAGCGAGGACGGUGAGUGACCCCGGCCCGGGGCACAGGUCACGACCCCUCAUCCCCCACGGACGGGCCGGGUCGCCCACAGUCUCCGGGUCCGAGAUCCACCCCGAAGCCGCGGGACCCCGAGACCCUUGCCCCGGGAGAGGCCCAGGCGCCUUAAUCCGGUUUCAUUUUCAGUUUAGGCCAAAAAUCCCCCCGGGUUGGUCGGGGCCGGGCGGGGCUCGGGGAACAGGGCUGACCGCGGGGUCGGGGCCAGGUUCUCACACCAUCCAGAUAAUGUAUGGCUGCGACGUGGGGUCGGACGGGCGCUUCCUCCGCGGGUAUGAACAGCUCGCCUACGACGGCAAGGAUUACAUCGCCCUGAACGAGGACCUGCGCUCUUGGACCGCGGCGGACAUGGCAGCUCAGAUCACCCAGCGCAAGUGGGAGGCGGUCCAUGCGGCGGAGCAGCAGAGAGCCUACCUGGAGGGCCGGUGCGUGGAGUCGCUCCGCAGAUACCUGGAGAACGGGAAGGAGACGCUGCAGCGCACGGACCCCCCCAAGACACAUAUGACCCACCACCCCAUCUCCGACCAUGAGGCCACCCUGAGGUGCUGGGCCCUGGGCUUCUACCCUGCGGAGAUCACACUGACCUGGCAGCGGGAUGGGGAGGACCAGACCCAGGACACGGAGCUCGUGGAGACCAGGCCUGCAGGGGAUGGAACCUUCCAGAAGUGGGCGGCUGUGGUGGUACCUUCUGGAGAGGAGCAGAGAUACACCUGCCAUGUGCAGCAUGAGGGUCUGCCCAAGCCCCUCACCCUGAGAUGGGAGCCGUCUUCCCAGCCCACCAUCCCCAUCGUGGGCAUCAUUGCUGGCCUGGUUCUCCUUGGAGCUGUGAUCACUGGAGCUGUGGUCGCUGCCGUGAUGUGGAGGAGGAAGAGCUCAGAUAGAAAAGGAGGGAGCUACUCUCAGGCUGCAAGCAGUGACAGUGCCCAGGGCUCUGAUGUGUCUCUCACAGCUUGUAAAG
rnacentral:sRNA from 1 species